rnacentral:rRNA from 1 species
CACGGGGGGAACGAGCGUUGUUCGGAUUUACUGGGCGUAAAGCGUGCGCAGGCGGUUGUAUAAGACAGAUGUGAAAUCCCCGGGCUCAACCUGGGAACUGCAUUUGUGACUGUACGGCUUGAGUGCGGCAGAGGGGGAUGGAAUUCCGCGUGUAGCAGUGAAAUGCGUAGAUAUGCGGAGGAACACCGAUGGCGAAGGCAAUCCCCUGGGCCUGCACUGACGCUCAUGCACGAAAGCGUGGGGAGCAAACAGGAUUAGAUACCCUGGUAGU